rnacentral:tRNA from 1 species
ACCGACCUUAGCUCAGUUGGUAGAGCGGAGGACUGUAGUUAUGUCUAAUAAUAGAAAUCCUUAGGUCGCUGGUUCGAAUCCGGCAGGUCGGAU